rnacentral:sRNA from 1 species
CAGGAACUGAGGACAUAUCUAAAUUUUCUAGUUUUAUAGAAGGCUUUUAUCCACAAGAAUCAAGAUCUUCCCUCUCUGAGCAGGAAUCCUUUGUGCAUUGAAGACUUUAGAUUCCUCUCUGCGGUAGACGUGCACUUAUAAGUAUUUGAUGGGGUGGAUUCGUGGUCGGAGGUCUCGACACAGCUGGGAGAUGAGUGAAUUUCAUAAUUAUAACUUGGAUCUGAAAAAGAGUGAUUUUUCAACACGAUGGCAAAAGCAAAGAUGUCCAGUAGUCAAAAGCAAAUGUAGAGAAAAUGCAUCUCCAUUUUUUUUCUGCUGCUUCAUUGCUGUAGCCAUGGGAAUCCGUUUCAUUAUUAUGGUAACGAUAUGGAGUGCUGUAUUCCUAAACUGUAAGUGAUAACAGAGAAGUAGAUUGCAACAUUGUCAAUUUAACAGUGCUAAUGUAUUACUUUUGUUAGUAUUCAGAAACACAGACACAUAAACUAGAAAUAUUAAAGGUAUCUUUGUUACAUUUUUGCUAUUAGUCCAGAAAUUUGUAAACUCUAUUUGCUUAUACUAUAAGUUACUAACAAUACAAACUUUUAAUACUUACUUAUGGUUAUUUUAAUAGCAUUAUUCAACCAAGAAGUUCAAAUUCCCUUGACCGGUAAGUGAAUUUUUAAAAUAUUUAUUUUAGAGCAUAUAUUAUAUGUAUCUACCUACAUUAUUGUGUAGGCAUGUAUUCAAUGAUUAAAAAAAGGAAAAAGUAAUUAAUUCUAGUCUGUAAUACGUUAUGGCUUCUGUUUUCCUUUUAACAAUGAGGGAAUACUUGUAAAAAGUAGAGGCUACUUAGGUUUGACAUCAUCUUUCUCUCUCUUUUUUUUUUUUUUUUUUUUGAGAUGGAGUCUCACUCUGUCACCCAGGCUGGAGUGCAGUGGGGUGAUCUCAGCACAGUGCAACCUUCGCCUCCCGGUUUCAAGCAAUUCUCAUGCCUCAGCCUCCCAAGUACCUGGGACUGCAACCUCUACCUCCUGGGUUCAAGCACUUCUCCUGCCUCAGCUUCCAAGUAGCUGGGACUGCAGGCGUGAGCCACCACACCCGGCUAAUUUUUGUAUUUUUAGUAGAGGCAGGGUUUCACCAUGUUGGCCAGGCUGGUAUCAAACUUCUAACCUCAAGUGAGUCACCUGCCUUGGCCUCCCAAAGUGCUAGGUUUACAGGCAUGAGACAACACACCCAGCCUGGCUUCUCUCUAUGAACAUGUAGAGAUAUGCCUUUGGUUAUGACUGUAAUAAUUUAAUAAACUGAAAUUUUAGAGUUGGAGUGAGAAAGACAUUUAAUUUGUCUAGACAAAAUCUGCUAUAAUGGUUCAGAUGUGAAGAAUUAAUAAUAUAUUCUCCUUUUCCAGAAAGUUACUGUGGCCCAUGUCCUAAAAACUGGAUAUGUUAUAAAAAUAACUGCUACCAAUUUUUUAAUGAGAGUAAAAACUGGUAUGAGAGCCAGGCUUCUUGUAUGUCUCAAAAUGCCAGCCUUCUGAAAGUAUACAGCAAAGAGGACCAGGAUUUACUUAAACUGGUGAAGUCAUAUCACUGGAUGGGACUAGUACACAUUCCAACAAAUGGAUCUUGGCAGUGGGAAGAUGGCUCCAUUCUCUCACCCAACCUACUAACAAUAAUUGAAAUGCAGAAGGGAGACUGUGCACUCUAUGCCUCGAGCUUUAAAGGCUAUAUAGAAAACUGUUCAACUCCAAAUACAUACAUCUGCAUGCAAAGGACUGUGUAAAGAUGAUCAACCAUCUCAAUAAAAGCCAGGAACAGAGAAGAGAUUACACCAGCGGUAACACUGCCAACUGAGACUAAAGGAAACAAACAAAAACAGGACAAAAUGACCAAAGACUGUCAGAUUUCUUAGACUCCACAGGACCAAACCAUAGAACAAUUUCACUGCAAACAUGCAUGAUUCUCCAAGACAAAAGAAGAGAGAUCCUAAAGGCAAUUCAGAUAUCCCCAAGGCGCCUCUCCCACCACAAGCCCAGAGUGGAUGGGCUUGGGGAGGGGUGCUGUUUUAAUUUCUAAAGGUAGGACCAAC